rnacentral:rRNA from 1 species
UAGGGAAUCUUCCACAAUGGGCGAAAGCCUGAUGGAGCAACGCCGCGUGUGUGAUGAAGGCUUUCGGGUCGUAAAGCACUGUUGUAUGGGAAGAACAGCUAGAAUAGGAAAUGAUUUUAGUUUGACGGUACCAUACCAGAAAGGGACGGCUAAAUACGUACNG